rnacentral:lncRNA from 1 species
GCCUCUGUCAGGAGGGCGACAAAGACCACUAAAUGGGUGCACCUGGACUGAACAGACCACGAUCUCGAGGCUGCCAGUUUUCCCUAAAGAUUCCUUAGUUGAUAGCAGUGUAAGCUAUUUUCAUCAUGAGGAAGAGCACACUGGAGAUAAUGAACUGAACUAAUGUAGCCCUUCUGCCAUGGCAGUGAAUGCUGUAUUAGGAGCAAAGAGACAAAUGGUGGGUUCUCAAUGCUGUUCAAGUUUCAACCAUGAUUCCUGUGAUCAAAAAAUUUAUGGCUGCAUCUAUGUGUAGGAACCAGUAACAGAUACUGGAGUGGACUUCAGCUUCUGCCACAGUGAAGAUUAUCAUAAUGACUCUGUCAGGAAAGAGACCAAGACUGGACAUACUUGAGAUGAUUUAACCAUCUUCCAUGAUCCCAAGCCCUUUGGUUGCCUCUAUACAUUCAUUAGAAGUAUGGAGGCCAGUUACUCCGCAGAAUGGAUGCCCUUGAGCUGACUUAAGCAUCUUCCACGGUCU